UACGUAGGGUGCAAGCGUUAAUCGGAAUUACUGGGCGUAAAGCGUGCGCAGGCGGUUUUGUAAGUCUGUCGUGAAAGCCCCGGGCUCAACCUGGGAAUUGCAUUCGAGACUGAAUAGCUAGGGUACGGUAGAGGGAAGCGGAAUUUCCGGUGUAGCGGUGAAAUGCGCCAGAUAUCAGGAGGAACACCGGUGGCGAAGGCGGGUCUCUGGGCAACAACUGACGCUGAGGAGCGAAAGCGUGGGGAGCGAACAGG
rnacentral:rRNA from 1 species